CCUACGGGUGGCAGCAGUAGGGAAUCUUCCACAAUGGGCGAAAGCCUGAUGGACCAACGCCGCGUGGGUGAAGAAGGUCUUCGGAUCGUAAAACCCUGUUGUUAAAGGAGUAAGUGCGGGAGAGUAACUGUUCACGUUUCGACGGUAUCUAACCAGAACGCCACGGCUAAAUACGUGCCAGCAGCCGCGGUAAUACGUAGGAGGCAAGCGUUAUUCGGAUUUAUUGGGCGUAAAGGGAACGCAGGCGGUCUUUUAAGUCUGAUGUUAAAGUCUUCGGCUUAACCGGAGUAGUGCAUUGGAGACUGGCAGACUUGAGUGCAGUAGAGGAGAGCGGAACUCGAUGUGUAGCGGUGAAAUGCGUAGAUAUAUGGAAGAACUCCGAUGGCGAAAGCGGCUCUCUGGUCUGUAACUGACGCUGAGGUUCGAAAGCGUGGGUAGCAAACAGGAUUAGAUACCCGUGUAGUC
rnacentral:rRNA from 1 species